rnacentral:rRNA from 1 species
UACGUAGGGGGCAAGCGUUGUCCGGAAUCAUUGGGCGUAAAGAGCGCGUAGGCGGCCCGAUAAGUCCGCUGUGAAAGUCGGGGGCUCAACCCUCGGAUGCCGGUGGAUACUGUCGGGCUUGAGUACGGAAGAGGCGAGUGGAAUUCCUGGUGUAGCGGUGAAAUGCGCAGAUAUCAGGAGGAACACCAAUUGCGAAGGCAGCUCGCUGGGACGUUACUGACGCUGAGACGCGAAAGCGUGGGGAGCAAACAGG